rnacentral:tRNA from 2 species
UCCCUCAUAGUCUAGGUGGUUAGGAUAUGCGGCUCUCACCCGCAAGACCCGGGUUCAACUCCCGGUGAGGGAA